UUAAUAACAUCUGUAAGGAGAAUAGAGCUUUGACCAGGAGGAACUGUUGUCAUCCGAUGGUAUCCAAUGAUCAUCUGGUGUUUCGACCCUGAACCAUAACACCCUCCUGUUGGUGGGUCAGCAGAGAUGGCCAAAUUACUGUUCAUCAUCUCC